ACGAACGCUGGCGGCGUGCUUAACACAUGCAAGUCGAACGGAAAGGCCCUGCUUUUGUGGGGUGCUCGAGUGGCGAACGGGUGAGUAACACGUGAGUAACCUGCCCUUGACUUUGGGAUAACUUCAGGAAACUGGGGCUAAUACCGGAUAGGAGCUCCUGCUGCAUGGUGGGGGUUGGAAAGUUUCGGCGGUUGGGGAUGGACUCGCGGCUUAUCAGCUUGUUGGUGGGUUAGUGGCUUACCAAGGCUUUGACGGGUAGCCGGCCUGAGAGGGUGACCGGCCACAUUGGGACUGAGAUACGGCCCAGACUCCUACGGGAGGCAGCAGUGGGGAAUAUUGCACAAUGAGCCGAAGCCUGAUGCAGCAACGCCGCGUGCGGGAUGACGGCCUUCGGGUUGUAAACCGCUUUCGCCUGUGACGAAGCGUGAUUGACGGUAAUGGGUAAAGAAGCACCGGCUAACUACGUG
rnacentral:rRNA from 1 species